rfam:Smittium mucronatum strain ALG-7-W6 scaffold-11724, whole genome shotgun sequence.
UCUUACGGCAAUUCACACCAGAAAGCACCAAAUCUCGUCUGAUCUUUGAAAUUAAGCUGGUGAUGGCAUCUUCAGUACUGUGGUGGGGGACCACAUGAGAAUACGACAAGCCUUAAGUC